rnacentral:rRNA from 1 species
CCUACGGGCGGCAGCAGUAGGGAAUAUUGCUCAAUGGGGGAAACCCUGAAGCAGCAACGCCGCGUGGAGGAUGAAGGUUUUAGGAUUGUAAACUUCUUUUGUUAGAGAAGAUUAUGACGGUAUCUAACGAAUAAGCACCGGCUAACUCCGUGCCAGCAGCCGCGGUAAUACGGAGGGUGCAAGCGUUAAUCGGAAUCACUGGGCGUAAAGAGUGCGUAGGCGGGGUAAUAAGUCUGAUGUGAAAUCCUGUGGCUUAACUACAGAACUGCAUUUGAAACUGUUACUCUGGAGUGUUGGAGAGGUAGGUGGAAUUCUUGGUGUAGGGGUAAAAUCCGUAGAGAGCAAGAGGAAUACUCAUUGCGAAGGCGACCUGCUGGAACAUUACUGACGCUGAUGCACGAAAGCGUGGGGAGCAAACAGGAUUAGAUACCCCUGUAGUC